AUCUAAAUAGUUUAAUGAAAAUGUUGGUUUGUGGUGCCGAUGAUAUAGAUUUCUAUUUUAGAUA
rnacentral:tRNA from 1 species